rnacentral:rRNA from 1 species
GACGAACGCUGGCGGCGUGCCUAAUACAUGCAAGUAGAACGCUGAAGGAGGAGCUUGCUUCUCUGGAUGAGUUGCGAACGGGUGAGUAACGCGUAGGUAACCUGCCUGGUAGCGGGGGAUAACUAUUGGAAACGAUAGCUAAUACCGCAUAAGAGUAGAUGUUGCAUGACAUUUACUUAAAAGGUGCAAUUGCAUCACUACCAGAUGGACCUGCGUUGUAUUAGCUAGUUGGUGAGGUAACGGCUCACCAAGGCAACGAUACAUAGCCGACCUGAGAGGGGGAUCGGCCAAACUGGGACUGAGACACGGCCCAGACUCCUACGGGAAGCAGCAGUAGGGAAUCUUCGGCAAUGGACGGAAGGCUGACCGAGCAACGCCGCGUGAGUGAAGAAGGUUUUCGGAUCGGAAAGCUCUGUUGUAAGAGAAGAACGAGUGGGAGAGUGGAAAGUUCACACUGUGACGGUAUCUUACCAGAAAGGGACGGCUAACUACGUG